rnacentral:rRNA from 1 species
AGGACGAACGCUGGCGGCGUGCCUAACACAUGCAAGUCAACGGGGAUUUGUUUCGGCAGAAUCCUAGUGGCGAACGGGUGAGUAACGCGUAGGCAACCUGCCCUCCGCCGGGGGACAACACUCCGAAAGGGGUGCUAAUACCGGAUACGAAGUCUGUGCCGCAUGGUACGGAUUUGAAAGAUGGCCUCUAUUUAUAAGCUAUCGCCGGGGGAUGGGCCUGCGUCCGAUUAGCUGGUUGGUGGGGUAACGGCCUACCAAGGCGACGAUCGGUAGCCGGUCUGAGAGGAUGAACGGCCACAUUGGGACUGAGACACGGCCCAGACUCCUACGGGAGGCAGCAGUGGGGAAUCUUCCGCAAUGGGCGCAAGCCUGACGGAGCAACGCCGCGUGAGUGAGGAAGUUCUUCGGAACGUAAAGCUCUGUUGUUCCUGACGAACCUCCCUUCUAUCAACAACGGAAGGGACUGACGGUAGGGAACGAGGAAGCCACGGCUAACUACGUGCCAGCAGCCGC